rnacentral:rRNA from 1 species
GAUGAACGCUGGCGGCGUGCCUAAUACAUGCAAGUCGAGCGAACAGACGAGGAGCUUGCUCCUCUGACGUUAGCGGCGGACGGGUGAGUAACACGUGGAUCACCUACCUAUAAGACUGGGAUAACUUCGGGAAACCGGAGCUAAUACCGGAUAAUAUAUUGAACCGCAUGGUUCAAUAGUGAAAGACGGUUUUGCUGUCACUUAUAGAUGGAUCCGCGCCGCAUUAGCUAGUUGGUAAGGUAACGGCUUACCAAGGCAACAAUGCGUAGCCGACCUGAGAGGGUGAUCGGCCACACUGGAACUGAGACACGGUCCAGACUCCUACGGGAGGCAGCAGUAGGGAAUCUUCCGCAAUGGGCGAAAGCCUGACGGAGCAACGCCGCGUGAGUGAUGAAGGUCUUCGGAUCGUAAAACUCUGUUAUUAGGGAAGAACAAAUGUGUAAGUAACUAUGCACGUCUUGACGGUACCUAAUCAGAAAGCCACGGCUAACUACGUG